rnacentral:hammerhead_ribozyme from 1 species
ACCCAGCUGACGAGUCCCAAACAGGACGAAAUUUGCGUCCUGGAU